GCCGAGGUAGCUCAGUGGUAGAGCGUGCGCCUGAAGAGCGCAGCGUGGGCAGUUCGAUUCUGCCCCUCGGCACCA
rnacentral:tRNA from 1 species